rnacentral:lncRNA from 1 species
AAAAACCCAGCUCCCUGUCUUUAGCUCGUCAUUACGAUCCAUAACAGCGUCACCAGCUAAGAGAGUCACAUGCACUGCUUAUCCCUGAGUUUGAGGUUCUCGGUGAGCUGUGGGAGAACUGGGAAAGGGUUGAGGUUGAAAGCGUGGGGUAAGGGCUGGGAAUGGAGAUAAAGGUUAUGUCACGAACACUGAACUAAAUUCAGUUCAGUGGAGAUUAUUGGAUUCCAGGACAACAGGUAAUUCAGUCCAAAGUUCCUCUGCUACUAAAGGAAAUGAGUGGAUCUCGGAUGCCUCCAGCGGGAAGAGAGCUUGUUGCCGAAGGGAAUGAGACGCAUUUCACUGUCAAAGGUUAGGUCUCAGAAUCUCCUCCCAGUUGAUGGAACUACAGACACUCAGUGGCAAAAAAAUGGACACACACUGCCAUAUUAAAGACGGAACGCAAAUACUCCUUGACAUCUUUUCAAGACAGGCAAAGCACUGGAGCGCUUCUGAACCGCAUCUGCUUUCCAUUCUGCCCGCAUGCAUCUUUGCUG